rnacentral:rRNA from 1 species
CAGCCGCCGCGGUAAUUCCAGCUCCAAGAGCGUAUGUAAAAGUUGUUGCAGUUAAAAAGCUCGUAGUUGAACCUUGGGUUUGGUUGCCGGUCCGCUUCUUUGCGAGUACUGGAUUCAACCGAGCCUUUCCUUCUGGGAACUAGUCGUUCUGCGGCUAGUGUACCAGGACUUUUACUUUGAGAAAAUUAGAGUGUUCAAAGCAGGCAUUAGCUUGAAUAUAUUAGCAUGGAAUAAUAGAAUAGGACGUUAUGGUUCUAUUUUGUUGGUUUCUAGGACCAUCGUAAUGAUUAAUAGGGACGGUCGGGGGCAUCAGUAUUCAGUUGUCAGAGGUGAAAUUCUUGGAUUUACUGAAGACUAACUACUGCGAAAGCAUUUGCCAAGGACGUUUUCAUUAAUCAAGAACGAAAGUUAGGGGAUCGAAGAUGAUCAGAUACCGUCGUAGUCUUAACCAUAAACUAUGCCGACUAGGGAUCGGGUGUUGUCCUUUUUUUGGCGCACUCGGCACCUUACGAGAAAUCAAAGUUUUUGGGUUCUGGGGGGAGUAUGGUCGCAAGGCUG